AGUCCCUGUGAGCUAUGAGUGAACCUGUACAUUGAUGAUUCCACCUGGGGGAGUGUUCAUUCUCUGAGAACACCCCCCUCUAGGUUGUACACCUCCUUUAAACAUUAGCCAGUGGAUAAGCCUAAUUACGGUUCUUUCCGCGAGUGGAACGCAGAGACUUCCGGCCAGCGCCUCUUCCGCGGAAUGGAACGCAUGGUGUUCCGGUCGGUGGAACGCAAAAGACGCGUCUCCGGCAGUUGCCCUUCCAAAUCGUUAAAAUACACUCAUUUAAGUAGCCGUGCGUUAGCGAUAGCCACUGCCUGUCCUGUGAACCCUGUAACUUUUUUCCCAGUUGGUCUGAGUUAGUUAUCUGAGAGGUGAUCAGUUAAUGAGAGACUGGGUUUAUACUAAUCUCCUUAAUUGGCACUUCCUGUGGUUGAUCCUUAAAUAGUGCUCAGCUGAGGCUGAACUUUAUGCAGCUUCCAUUUGGCUCUGGACACUUGAGCAGUGAGUAUGGUUCUCCUGCAGCUCCCUUCUGACACAUGAUUACGGUUGGUGAUUAUUUUUUCCUGUUGUGCCUCCUUACAGACUGAGUGUCUGACACAUGUACAGAGCCCACAAGCUGCCAUGAGCUAUUUCUACAUGUAACUAGGUGACUACGCCUUGCAGCUUCCCCUACGUUAUAGGCUUUUUAACUUCAUUAUGUGAUCAGGCAUGUUGCCAACUUUGAAGGCCAUUCCACACAUCUGAGUGAUCUGGCUUGCCGUCCAGGUGAUUUAAGUGCCAAUCUUGAUAAAGGUCCGCAUAAGGACCGAAACGUCGAUGAAAUACGGCAUCAACAGUGAACCCGAAUAAAAAUAUACUGAAUUUACAAGUGACUUCAGAGACUAAUUUCUGGGCGUGAGUGCACCUUCCACCUAGGUGGUUGUUGUGGUAUAUUGGUGGCCUCUCUGGUCAUUAGGAGCACCCGCCGUCGUUAUUACUUUUGAUGAGAGUGCAGGAUCUUCCAAGACUACAUUUGUUCGAACUACUAUAUGCAGUUCCUACUUCCUGACACCCAUCCAACAUACCGGAUUGGACUUCCUCACCGAUCACCACCUUUAUUUCCGGGAACCUUACAUGUUUUGUUUGUCAUGUUUAGUAUGUUAUUAAUCUAAUUGCUAUACCUGUUUGAGUUUUCCAGUCUAAAGAGUGUUAUGACUCAGAGCGGGGUAUAUUUGUUGGAUGAUGGCCUACUGGCCAAAGCUGAAACUGGUAUAGUUUCAUUUACGGAUGAGGACACUGAAAAAUUACUAUUCGAUAAAUUAGAGUUUGAGGCCUUACCAGCCGAAACCCCUGUGGAUUUGUUUUACAAAGUGCUUAAACACAGACAAAAAGAGGUUGAUUUGACUUUACAUGGUCAAUUUUUGUCGGAAUACCUCAGGAGAAAACAAAUCCCCCGGGGUUUCCGUAUUUCUAACGUUCCAACAUUGGGUAGAAACAACCCUGUCUUCUGCAGCCGGUGGUGUGGAGUAUUGAACAAAUGUUCGCUUGACCUCAUGACCCUGGUAGUGGAGGAAGUUGGCAUUGAGUUAAAGAAAUUAUCUACUGAAGUGGAUAUUACCAUCAAAUCUCACACCACCGUGCUGCAGAAUGACAAAACCCAAAAUUGGAUCGAACGUCUACAGACACAGGUGGACACUUAUAAACGUGAUCUAAUUUCUUUUAAACGAAAAAAAUUGUCCACUGUAACUAACGACUACCAAACGCAUACUGUAUACCGCUGGUUACUUGGAAACAAUACUAGUGAACGUCAGAAUAGACAAUACACUAGGCGAAGGGCCCAACCUUUUGCCCAUGAAUUUGUUUCCUCCGCCUCUACCUCAGACACCGAUUAUUACGAAGGGAACAACGACUCCACUCGUUUUUUAGAUCGAGGAGGAGAGGCCUCCUCUACCCGUUCCAGGGUUCUCAGAAGCGGCACAGACCGCACCCGAGGAGAGGGGGGUACCAAGAGAAGAGGGAGGAGGAGACAGUAGGUGACAAUGUCUUUAAUCUAUCUAGCGUAGAACUGAGUCCAGCGGAAACUAAACUUCUUGCCCGAGGUUUAUCUUUCGUCCCCACAUGCAGAAUUAAUUCAUUCCAACAAACUAUAGAUCAGUAUAAAUUUGGCCGCUCCCUCCGUCUGCGGGAGUUCUUUGCUAACAAAUCCACUAACAAAGAGAUACCUCAAUUCAGACCCAAAUCGACAUUCGAUCCUCCAUCCUCCAAUCCCAGCAUCAAAACUUAUUUACGGUUAGUCCAAAGAGACUCUGAGAGCUCACCCCCCAAAAGGAUGUUUGAUAACCUGUCCAUAGCCGAGAGGAAAGCAUUAAAAACUUUAAAGGAUUCUCCCCAUAUAGUCAUCCGCCCGGCGGAUAAGGGAGGAGCAAUAGUCGUCCAAGAUUGGACUGACUAUGACAUGGAGAUCAACCGACAAUUAGCAGAUGAC